GCGGGCCUCUGUAAAUGAUGUGGGCCUGCAGAUAUUAUGCCAGCUUGGGGACAUGACACAGGCUCGGCUAGAUGAUGCGAGCUUGGGAAAUGAUGCGGGCUUGGGGAGAUGAUGUGGGUUUGGGGAGAUGAUGUGGGCUUGGGGGGAUGAUGUGGGCUUGGGGAGAUGAUGUGGGCUUGGGGAGACUAUGUGGGCUUGGGGAAAUGUUUGCUUGGGGAGAUAAUGCAGGCUUGGGGAGAUGACACGGGCGUGCGUAAAUGGUGCAGGCUCGCAGAUACUACGCCGACUUGGGAUCAUGAUGCGGGCUCGGCUAGAAGAUGCGGGCUUGGGAAAUGAUGCGGGCUUGGGGAGAUGUUUGGGCUUGGGGAGAUGAUGUGGGUUUGGGGAGAUGAUGCGGGUUUGGGGAGAUGAUGUGGGCUUGGGGAGAUGAUGUGGGCUUGGGGAGACUAUGUGGACUUGGGGAGACUAUGUGGGCUUGGGGAGAUAAUGCGGGCUUGGGGAGAUGAUGCGGCUCCGGGAGAUGACACGGGCGUGCGUAAAUGGUGCAGGCUUGCAGAUACUACGCCGACUUGGGAUCAUGAUGCGGGCUCGGCUAGAAGAUGCGUGCUUGGGAAAUGAUGCAGGCUUGGGGAAUUGAUGUGCCUUUUGGGAGAUGUGGGCUUGGGAAGAUGAUGUGGGCUUGGGUACAUGAUGCGGGCUUGGGGGGAUGUGGGCUUGGGGAGAUGAAGCGGGCUUAGUGCGGUGAGGUCAGUUUGGGGACAUGUGGGCCUGGAAACCCAAUGAGGGCUUGGGGAGAUAAUGAGGGCUUGGGGAUAUGUCAGUUUGGGGACAUGAUGCAGGCUUGGGGACAUGACACAGGCUCGGGAGCACAACACAGUUUCAGGGAGAUGACGUGGACUUGGAGAGCUGAUGUGGGCUUGGGAAGAUGUGGGUUUGGAAUGAUGUGGGCUUGGAGAGAUGAUUCAGACUUGGGGAGAUGAUGUUGGCUUGGGGAGAUGUUGGCUCAGGGAGAUGACGCGGUCUCAGGGA